UACGUAGGUGGCAAGCGUUGUCCGGAUUUAUUGGGUUUAAAGGGUGCGUAGGCGGUUCUAUAAGUCAGUGGUGAAAUCCGGCAGCUCAACUGUCGAUGUGCCAUUGAUACUGCAGAACUUGAGUACAGACGAGGUAGGCGGAAUUGACGGUGUAGCGGUGGAAUGCUUAGAUAUCGUCAAGAACACCGAUAGCGAAGGCAGCUUACUAGACUGUAACUGACGCUGAUGCACGAAAGUGUGGGGAUCAAACAGG
rnacentral:rRNA from 1 species